UUUGAUCGUGGAAGGGGCCUUGAAUAAUGUCAUAGCCUGGGAUUCUAGGACCUCCUUGUGUCCUUGGCGAAAUUACAUUUUCGAGGAGAUCUUUCAUCUCACUAGAGAGCUACAAGUAGUUUGGUGACACACUUGGAUAGAAGGAAACGACACUGCAGAUGCCCUAGCCAAUGAGGGUGCUUGUGUACAGCACCCCCAAGGGUCUCUUGCGCACCUUUUCCAGCACUACAGAUCUGCUUUUUGGUUCACUGAUCUGAUCGUCUAUUUUUCAGAUGUAUA
rnacentral:lncRNA from 1 species